AAAGUACUCCCUCCGUCCGGAAAUACUUGUCAUCAAAAUGGAUAAAAAGAUAUGCACCUAUAACUAAAAUACGUCUAGAUACACCCCAUUUUAUCCAUUUUGAUAACAAGUAUUUCCGGAUGGAAGGAGUAUAAU
rfam:Triticum aestivum genome assembly, contig: Triticum_aestivum_CS42_TGACv1_scaffold_252722_3DL